rnacentral:rRNA from 1 species
UACGUAGGGUGCAAGCGUUAAUCGGAAUUACUGGGCGUAAAGCGUGCGCAGGCGGCUUUGCAAGACAGAUGUGAAAUCCCUGGGCUUAACCUGGGAACUGCAUUUGUGACUGCAUGGCUAGAGUGCGGCAGAGGGGGAUGGAAUUCCGCGUGUAGCAGUGAAAUGCGUAGAUAUGCGGAGGAACACCGAUGGCGAAGGCAAUCCCCUGGGCCUGCACUGACGCUCAUGCACGAAAGCGUGGGGAGCAAACAGG